CAUGCAGGCGGUUAGACAAGUCAGGUGUGAAAUCCCCGCGCUUAACGUGGGCAUUGCAUCUGAAACUGUUUAGCUAGAGUUCUGUAGAGGGGGGUAGAAUUCCAGGUGUAGUGGUGAAAUACUUAGAGAUGUCAUAGAACACCGAUUGCGAAGGCAGCUCACAAAACUGUAACUGACACUGAGGCUCGAAAGUAUGGGGAUCAAACAGGAUUAGAUACCCUAGUA
rnacentral:rRNA from 1 species